GUCUAUUCGAAAAUAGUCAUUAUCGCAUCACUAUACUAGUCCUGAAGCCGUUUGAUCGCCGUGUUCAUUUCGUGUAUGGCAAAUUGUUAGAUUGUUGUUGCUGCUGCUGCUGCCGCUGCUACGUCCAUUAAUUAAAUUACAACGUCCGCAGACAUAGUUUAAGGCGUGUGAAAUAUGCGCAAAGUUGACGAAGAACCUUGGCAGCGUAUCUAUGUA